rnacentral:rRNA from 1 species
CAAACCAAAGCUGGCGACCGGCGCACGGGUGAGUAACACGUAUCCAACCUGCCUCAUACUCGGGGAUAGCCUUUCGAAAGAAAGAUUAAUAUCCGAUAGCAUAUAUUUCCCGCAUGGGUUUUAUAUUAAAGAAAUUCGGUAUGAGAUGGGGAUGCGUUCCAUUAGUUUGUUGGGGGGGUAACGGCCACCAAGACUACGAUGGAUAGGGGUUCUGAGAGGAAGGUCCCCCACAUUGGAACUGAGACACGGUCCAA